UACAGAGGUCUCGAGCGUUAGUCGGAAUCACUGGGCUUAAAGCGUGCGUAGGCGGAUGUGCAGGCGUCGUGUGAAAGCCCUCGGCUCAACCGGGGAAUUGCACGGCGAACCGCACGUCUCGAGACAAGUAGGGGCGGCCGGAACGAUAGGUGGAGUGGUGAAAUGCGUUGAUAUCCGAAGGAACACCGGUGGCGAAAGCGGCUCACUGGGUAUUUUCUGACGCUGAUGCACGAAAGCUAGGGGAGCAAACGGG
rnacentral:rRNA from 1 species